rnacentral:rRNA from 1 species
AGGUCGUUUCUGCCCACUGAUUUUUUAUUAAAGGGCCGCAGUAAUUUGACUGUGCAAAGGUAGCAUAAUAAAUAGUUUUUUAAUUGGAAACUGGAAUGAAUGAAUUGAUGAAAAAUUAACUUUCUUUAAUUUUUGAUUUAGAAUUUUGAUUUUGAAUAAAAAUUUUCAAAAUUUUUUAAAAGACGAGAAGACCCUAUAGAUUUUUAUUUUUAUUAAUUGGCUUACAGUUAUUUUGGUUUAUUUUAGGUUUUUUAAUAAGAAUUUUAUUGGGGUGAUAAAAAAAGAUUCUUAUCUUUUUUAUGUUUAUUGUUUAAUUGUUUUUAUAUUUUUGAUCCUUUUUUUUGAUUAUUAGUUUAAAUUACCUUAGGGAUAACAGCAUAAUUUUAUUGGAAAGUUCAUAUUAAUAAUAAAGAUUGUGACCUCGAUGUUGAAUUAAGGUUAAAGAUGGGAGUACAAAUUCAUUUUUUUUAGUCUGUUCAACUAUUAAAAUCU